rnacentral:ribozyme from 2 species
GCCUUAAUGCGGCCAGAGACGGUUACAAGCCCGGCAAACGCAGAGUAAGGC